rnacentral:rRNA from 1 species
GAUGAACGCUGGCGGCGUGCCUAACACAUGCAAGUCGAGCGGAGAUAUUGUUGCUUGCAACAAUAUCUUAGCGGCGGACGGGUGAGUAACACGUGGGUAACUUGCCCUAAACAAAGGGAUAACAAUGAGAAAUCAUUGCUAAUACCGUAUAAGCUUACAAUAUCGCAUGAUAACGUAAGAAAAGAUUUAUCGGUUUAGGAGGGGCCCGCGUCUGAUUAGCUAGUUGGAGAGAUAACGGCUCACCUAGUCGAUGAUCAGUAGCCGAACUGAGAGGUUGAUCGGCCACAUUGGGACUGAGACACGGCCCAGACUCCUACGGGAGGCAGCAGUGGGGAAUAUUGCGCAAUGGGGGAAACCCUGACGCAGCAACGCCGCGUGAAGGAUGAAGGUCUUCGGAUUGUAAACUUUUGUCUUAUGGGACGAAAAAGGACGGUACCAUAGGAGGAAGCCACGGCUAACUACGUGCCAGCCGCCGCCGUAAAAC